rnacentral:rRNA from 1 species
UACGUAGGGUGCAAGCGUUGUCCGGAAUUAUUGGGCGUAAAGAGCUCGUAGGCGGUUUGUCGCGUCUGCUGUGAAAACUCGGGGCUUAACCCCGGGCCUGCAGUGGGUACGGGCAGACUAGAGUGCGGUAGGGGAGACUGGAAUUCCUGGUGUAGCGGUGAAAUGCGCAGAUAUCAGGAAGAACACCCGUGGCGAAGGCGGCUCUCUGGAACGCAACUGACGCUGAGACGCGAAAGCGUGGGGAGCAAACAGG